rnacentral:rRNA from 1 species
UACGUAGGGCGCAAGCGUUGUCCGGAAUUACUGGGCGUAAAGGGCGCGUAGGCGGCACGGCAAGUCAGGAGUGAAAGCCCUGGGCUCAACCCGGGAACUGCUUUUGAAACUGCCGAGCUAGAGUGCGGAAGGGGCAACUGGAAUUCCCAGUGUAGCGGUGAAAUGCGUAGAUAUUGGGAAGAACACCUGAGGCGAAGGCGGGUUGCUGGGCCGACACUGACGCUGAGGCGCGAAAGCCAGGGGAGCGAACGGG